rnacentral:misc_RNA from 1 species
UUUCCGUAGGUGAACCUGCGGAAGGAUCAUUAAUGAGUUGUCAUGGGGUUCGAUGCUGGCAGCCAGUUUUUGGAUGCAUGUGCUUGCCCUAACAAUCAUCUUCUUCCAAACACCUGUGCACAUUUUUGAGGGAGUCUUGAGUUGGUUGCCGCUCUUGGGUGAUUUUCUCACAUUCCCUUAAAUCAUUAUACGCUAUUAACAAUGUUGAACGUGCUCUGUGCCGCAAGGCCAUUAAUAUAAUACAACUUUUAACAACGGAUCUCUUGGCUCUCGCAUCGAUGAAGAGCGCAGC